CGAGCCAAUGUUUUGUGACGCCACUGAAGGCUGGUACAUGCAUGACAAUCGCUGUUACUCAGUAUCAGACUAUCGCGAUUCUUGGCUGAACGCCGAGCUGAUGUGCCAGCAAAUCAGCGGCGACUUGGUCACCAUCAACGACGAUCAGGAACAGUUCUUCAUUUUAGAUGAAGCUCUCAAGCACCACGACAACGUCUGGAUCGGAAUGACAGAAAUAGGCCAUACUGGACAAUUUUAUUGGAUUGGCGACAACAGCGCGGAUUACACCAACUGGGCUGAAAAUA
rnacentral:lncRNA from 1 species